GCGGGAAUGGCGGAAUUGGCAGACGCACCAGCUUGAGGGGCUGGCGGUAGCAAUACCAUGCAGGUUCAAGUCCUGUUUCCCGCA
rnacentral:tRNA from 1 species